rnacentral:snoRNA from 1 species
CUGAAGCCAAUUAAACUUACCAGGUUCCUUCCCUCAUGCAGGCCUGGUGUGCAAACAGCAGCCUCCUUGGUGGUGUAUGCAGCCUGUCACUUAUAUGGGUUGAUGUAAGGGACCUUGAAGACAAUU